UCCUACGGGAGGCAGCAGUGAGGAAUAUUGGUCAAUGGGCGGAAGCCUGAACCAGCCAAGUAGCGUGUGGGAUGACGGCCCUACGGGUUGUAAACCACUUUUUCGCGGGGAUAACCGCCGGGCUGCGGCCCGGCCUGCAGGUACCGCGUGAAUAAGGACCGGCUAAUUCCGUGCCAGCAGCCGCGGUAAUACGGAAGGUCCGGGCGUUAUCCGGAUUUAUUGGGUUUAAAGGGAGCGUAGGCGGGAGCUUAAGCGUGUUGUGAAAAGUCGGGGCUCAACCCCGUCCGUGCAGCGCGAACUGGGUUUCUUGAGUGCGCGGGAGGCACGCGGAAUUCGUGGUGUAGCGGUGAAAUGCUUAGAUAUCACGAAGAACUCCGAUUGCGAAGGCAGCGUGCCGUAGCGUUACUGACGCUGAAGCUCGAAGGUGCGGGGAUCGAACAGGAUUAGAUACCCUGGUAGUCC
rnacentral:rRNA from 1 species